rnacentral:lncRNA from 1 species
GUCUAAGCUAGUUUUGCUUACAUUUGAACUUCAUGUAACAUUGUAACAUUUUAUUCUUGUAAUUUUUCAUUAAUAAAUACUGUCAGUGGUUAAACUAAAGUCUAAGAUGGUUUUGCCUACAUGUAAACUGAUUUGACCACGGCAUACUUUGUACCUGUACCAAGUCAUGACAUCUGGACCAUGUGUAGUUAUAUCUCGUCGGUCCUUGUUUGUACAAGGGGUUGGAUGUCUGUGGUUGGUGUAAACUGUAGUACUGGCCAAUGUAUUCAGUAAUACCAGUUAUCUCUUUAUUUAGUGCUCAGACCUAUUUCUUUUUUCCAUAAUAUACGAGUUGCGUCAGAUAGAACUCGACCUUAUGCAAAUAUAUCAAUACAUCUGUUGACCAAUUUUUGAUUGAUAAAAUCUAUAUGGAAAGUCUGUUUGAAAGUUGACUUUAUAUAUAAGAACCUUACAAAAUACACCAAAAUUCUUCUUUUGCUUCAAAUUUCAACGUUCAAAAAUCAUAUAUGUAAUGUACAUUUUCUGUUUAAAAAAAGACUUUUUACAUUGUGAUGACCUUGAGGUCAUUCUGAUGUAUUACUAUCGCCUAGAUUUCCAUUGUGUAAAUUAGUUUUGGGUUUGUAAACAUGAUAAAAACACUCAGUUAAACGAGUGCAAAAUUGCAUUCC